rnacentral:rRNA from 1 species
AGAAUCAACGCUGGCGGCGUGCCUAACACAUGCAAGUCGAUCGAGAAAGUGGAGCAAUCCAUGAGUAAAGAGGCGCACGGGUGAGUAACACGUGACUAACCUACCCUUGAGUGGGGGAUAACCUAGGGAAACCUGGGCUAAUACCGCAUAAUACCUUCGGGUCAAAGGAGCAAUUCGCUUUAGGAGGGGGUCGCGGCCGAUUAGUUAGUUGGCGGGGUAAUGGCCCACCAAGACUGUGAUCGGUA